AUAUUUACUUGGCAGGGUAGACAUCAUGAUCAGAAAGGUAGUUUUUCCAGCGUGUGGCUUACUUACCCCCUCGCACUUGGCGUGCGCUCUUUGAGGAAACUCAGCUGCCUAAUUUGUGGUAGUGGGUGACUGAGCUCUCCCC
rnacentral:snRNA from 1 species